GGGGCUGUAGCUCAGUGGUAGAGCAUUUGCCUCGCAUGCAUGAGGCACUGGAUUUGAUCCUCAGCACCA
rnacentral:tRNA from 1 species